GAAAGGCUGUAGCUCAGUACUAGGAGCAUUUGCCUUACAUGCAGAAGGUCCCAGGUUCAAUCUGUGGCGCCUUCA